AAUCAAGGUCCACUAUCAGUCGUAGGCCUAAGGCAAAGAGGGGCUUGACGUUAAAAGAAACUCAACAAAUGGAGUUCUUCUCUCAGGCUGUUGAUGAGACACUUCUGUUCAUUACAUUCUCACUUACAGCUUUAGGAAGCCAAGAAUGACGUCGAAAUGAAUGAUUUAUAGGAACAUCUGGCUGAAACAUGGAAGACAUUGACAGUAUAUCGAGGAUGAAAGCUUGCUUCAAUUUUUAGAAAGAACGCUGAGGUGGAAACAUCUAGCUCCCAUUGCACUAUCUACACUCACAGUGAUUCGACUAUUGACGCUUUCAACAGUUUCGUCUGCGAAACUGGAGCCGGAAACCAUAUUCUUGGAGCCCUAUUUGUUGAUCUUGAGCCAUUGUUAUU